UAAAAAAGAAUGGAAAAUUUGGAUGAUGUUUUCAGUAUAAAUUACUGAGAAUGCAUUAACAUAAUAUAUGCAAACUAUUCUUAUCUAAUCUAAUCAGUUUCGGGGAACAAAACAUUUGCAUGUGCUUGACAAAAGUAAGCUUGUUCUGCUAAAUUAUCGAAUGCGUCUAGACAAUAUCUCAAUGCAAAAUUAAUUAAAACAUUAAAAGCGGUUUCGUUGGUCCUCAAAAUAGUAUAUAAACUUGGGAUUAUUUUUGGGAAAUCAGUUUUAGUUUAUCCGGGAAUCGAGAGAAUAUCUCAAAAUGAAAUACGUCGAACUUAUCCUUCUCGUCGUUUUGGUUAUCAUCGUUAUUGCUGGACCAACUGAUGCUAGUUUCUCGUCCAUCAUGAAGAAGAUCGAGGUUAUUGGAGGGGAAGUUGCCAACAUGGGUGAUAAGGUUUUUUGUUAACGCUGUGCGAGACAUCUUGGCUUAAUUUCGAUUCAGAACUUAAAAACUCCCAAUCAGAUCAUGGUUAACAUAUGAAUUCAACUAAUAGUUACAAUUUAAAAGGCUUUUUAAAGGUUCUCAACAACAUGUUAAUAAAAUUGAAGUGGUAUAAAAA